rnacentral:rRNA from 1 species
CGGCGUGCUUAACACAUGCAAGUCGAACGGAAAGGCCCUGCUUUUGUGGGGUGCUCGAGUGGCGAACGGGUGAGUAACACGUGAGUAACCUGCCCUUGACUUUGGGAUAACUUCAGGAAACUGGGGCUAAUACCGGAUAGGAGCUCCUGCUGCAUGGUGGGGGUUGGAAAGUUUCGGCGGUUGGGGAUGGACUCGCGGCUUAUCAGCUUGUUGGUGGGGUAGUGGCUUACCAAGGCUUUGACGGGUAGCCGGCCUGAGAGGGUGACCGGCCACAUUGGGACUGAGAUACGGCCCAGACUCCUACGGGAGGCAGCAGUGGGGAAUAUUGCACAAUGGGCGGAAGCCUGAUGCAGCAACGCCGCGUGCGGGAUGACGGCCUUCGGGUUGUAAACCGCUUUCGCCUGUGACGAAGCGUGAGUGACGGUAAUGGGUAAAGAAGCACCGGCUAACUACGUGCCAGCAGCCGCGGUGAUACGUAGGGUGCGAGCGUUGUCCGGAUUUAUUGGGCGUAAAGGGCUCGUAGGUGGUUGAUCGCGUCGGAAGUGUAAUCUUGGGGCUUAACCCUGAGCGUGCUUUCGAUACGGGUUGACUUGAGGAAGGUAGGGGAGAAUGGAAUUCCUGGUGGAGCGGUGGAUGCGCAGAUAUCAGGAGGAACACCAGUGGCGAAGGCGGUUCUCUGGGCCUUUCCUGACGCUGAGGAGCGAAAGCGUGGGGAGCGAACAGGCUUAGAUACCCUGGUAGUCCACGCUGUAAACGGUGGGUACUAGGUGUGGGGUCCAUUCCACGGGUUCCGUGCCGUAGCUAACGCUUUAAGUACCCCGCCUGGGGAGUACGGCCGCAAGGCUCAAACUCAAAGGAAUUGACGGGGCCCCGCACAAGCGGCGGAGCAUGCGGAUUAAUUCGAUGCAACGCGUAGAACCUUACCUGGGUUUGACAUGGAUCGGGAGUGCUCAGAGAUGGGUGUGCCUCUUUUGGGGUCGGUUCACAGGUGGUGCAUGGCUGUCGUCAGCUCGUGUCGUGAGAUGUUGGGUUAAGUCCCGCAACGAGCGCAACCCUUGUUCACUGUUGCCAGCACGUUAUGGUGGGGACUCAGUGGAGACCGCCGGGGUCAACUCGGAGGAAGGUGGGGAUGACGUCAAGUCAUCAUGCCCCUUAUGUCCAGGGCUUCACGCAUGCUACAAUGGCUGGUACAGAGAGUGGCGAGCCUGUGAGGGUGAGCGAAUCUCGGAAAGCCGGUCUCAGUUCGGAUUGGGGUCUGCAACUCGACCUCAUGAAGUCGGAGUCGCUAGUAAUCGCAGAUCAGCAACGCUGCGGUGAAUACGUUCCCGGGGCUUGUACACACCGCCCGUCAAGUCAUGAAAGUUGGUAACACCCGAAGCCGGUGGCCUAACCGUUGUGGGGGAGCCGUCGAAGGUGGGACUGGUGAUUAGGACUAAGUCGUA